UACGUAGGGUGCGAGCGUUGUCCGGAAUUAUUGGCGUAAAGAGCUCGUAGGCGGUUUGUCGCGUCUGCCGUGAAAGUCCGGGGCUCAACUCCGGAUCUGCGGUGGGUACGGGCAGACUAGAGUGAUGUAGGGGAGACUGGAAUUCCUGGUGUAGCGGUGAAAUGCGCAGAUAUCAGGAGGAACACCGAUGGCGAAGGCAGGUCUCUGGGCAUUAACUGACGCUGAGGAGCGAAAGCAUGGGGAGCGAACAGG
rnacentral:rRNA from 1 species